CGAUGUGUGUUAGACGUUGGAAAUUAUUUUCAGUGUCGCAGGGAAACCGAUAAACACACCGCCUGGGGAGUACGACCGCAAGGUUAAAACUCAAAUGAAUUGACGGGGACCCGCACAAGUAGUGGAGCAUGUGGUUUAAUUCGAAGAUACGCGCAGAACCUUACCAACACUUGACAUGUUCGUCGCGACUCUAAGAGAUUAGAGUUUUCGGUUCGGCCGGACGAAACACAGGUGCUGCAUGGCUGUCGUCAGCUCGUGUCGUGAGAUGUUGGGUUAAGUCCCGCAACGAGCGCAACCCUCACUUUUAGUUGCCAUCAUUAAGUUGGGCACUCUGAAAGAACUGCCAGUGAUAAGCUGGAGGAAGGUGGGGAUGACGUCAAGUCCUCAUGGCCCUUACGUGUUGGGCUACACACGUGCUACAAUGGCAUCUACAACAGGAAGCAAAACGGCAACGUUAAGCAAAUCCCGAAAAGAUGCCUCAGUUCGGAUUGCACUCUGCAACUCGAGUGCAUGGAGCUGGAAUUACUAGUAAUCGUGGAUCAGCGUGCCACGGUGAAUGCGUUCCCGGGUCUUGUACACACCGCCCGUCACACCAUGGGAGUGGGUUUUACCAGAAGUAGUUAGUCUGACCGCAAGGGGGACGAUUACCACGGUAGGAUUCAUGACUGGGGUGAAGUCGUAACAAGGUAACC
rnacentral:rRNA from 1 species